UAUAUAUAUAUAGCUUCAAAGUAGCCCCUCUUUUAUCUAGAUACCAGCUCUGCAGGUGCGUCCUGGGAUGCUUUGUAAACAAUAGGAACAGAACUUUUUUGUGUUGUCUGCUUCUUAGCCAGUUUGUUUUAACCAUUCAUAUCUAUAGCCAUGUAUACGCACACAAAAUAAUAAUGUAUUAAAAUAAAUAUUUAGUGAAGAGUCUCCAAACAUUUGUCAGGUUCUGUGGAUGCUAAACUCAUUUGUCCUUGUUUGCAUGUGAUUAUAUUUAUAGCUAAGCUCUGUUUUAAUUAAAAGAAGAUUAAAGUUUGCACAGCACAGCUCCAAAAUUAUUAAAAAUCUUUAUGUUCUCACCACAGGUGAUGUUUCGAGUCUAAAAGCUUGUCUUAUGAAGAGCUUUUAGGUUAGAAAUGUCACGUAUGGUGAGAACAUUAAUAAAUAUUUUUAUACUUUUGGAGCUGUGCUGUGCCAACUCCGAUCUUCCAUUAUGCAACUAUUUGUGGUUGUGGCUUUAACCUGUUAGACGUGUACACUUGAAACUCUUUUUUUUAAUUAGCCAUAUUUGUGUUAUCUCUUUUUCAGGACAGUGUUGACCUGAAGAACAUAUGCUUGAGAAUGGCUAUUGCAGAAGGUGGUUCUCGCUCGGACAGAGACUUGAGGGAACUUCGGGACUGUCUUCGACUUAUUCAUCUACUUCCACAAGACCGCAAGCCCAGGCUCGUGGAGGUCUGGGUUGAACCACUGUGGGCUCUUGACAGGCCAGUGAGAAGCCAGCGCCGCGGCUACAGACAGUGUCUAGCAGGAUGGAUGGCUGGGGUAUUACAUCACUUCCUGGGACAUGACGAGAGCAGACUCAGACAGAUGAGUAAAAGGAUGAGUGCUGUAUGACAAGAAGACCAGAGGAGAAGGCCAGGCAUUGUUGGGGGUCCGUGUCUUUGUCUUAAGAAAAAACACCAAAAAAAAAAAAAACAAUUUGGGCGAAAGAGAGUCAUUGUUGACAUUUAAUUCUUGUGUCUUAAAUGUAUUUCUACAGACUUGUGCUUGAUUGUCGUUUUGAUUUUUCCACAACAUUCAAAGACCGAAAAUUCAGCUUGAAAUAUAUUCAAAUGGAAAACAGUUAAAUUGUAAUAUUUCAGAAUAUAUCAGUAUUACUGUAUUUUUGAUCACACACACACACACACACACACACACACACACACACACACACACACACACACACACAUAUA
ensembl:lncRNA